rnacentral:ncRNA from 1 species
CUUAUCCAGAACGGCAGAGGGGACGGCCCGAUGAAGCCUAGCAACCGGUCCUAGUCCGUUACGGCGGGCGUGGAUACGGUGCUAAUUCCGGCGUCUGGCGCUCAUAACGUCAGGCGAAAGAUGAGG